AGUCUAUCUGUGGUAUAGCAGCCGCACACACCUUGUUGGAUUGAAACCUGUGGAUUUAUUCCCUGUGAGCGCCAGAGACUGAUCACAUCCCAUGAAUAGUAAGAGGCCUUUUUGUCCCCUGGUGGAGAGCAGAGAACGAGGAUGUGAGUACCUGGCUAGCCUUUCACCUCGUGUAUUCGAGAAGGAUGAGGAGCGAAACAAUGGGGCAGAGAGUCAGCGAGCCAGCGAGUCAGCAGUGGACGCUCUUAAUAUACAGCAGAAGAAACAAGCCUGGGAGGAAAUAUGCUGAAAUGGAGAGUUGAGGAGGUGGGCCAGACAUCAGCUCACGACAUUGUUGGAACACGCGGUGUUGCCGCUUCUUCCAUGUGAAGAGCGUAUGGCUUGAGAUACCGGGUAUUUAGCAGUUCUUUUAUUUCCGCUUGUAAAUAAACAAAAAGUACUUCUUAUUCUAUUAGCUAAAUGAAGACAAUAAAUGUGAACAGUCAACA